rnacentral:tRNA from 1 species
ACAGGUAUGAUGAAAUUGGUAGACAUGUUUGAUUUAGGCUCAAGUGGUUAAACCAUGCAGGUUCGAGUCCUGCUACCUGUA